rnacentral:rRNA from 1 species
UGCCAGACUCCUACGGGAGGCAGCAGCGGGGAAUAUUGCACAAUGGGGGAAACCCUGAUGCAGCGACGCCGCGUGAGCGAUGAAGUAUUUCGGUAUGUAAAGCUCUAUCAGCAGGGAAGAAAAUGACGGUACCUGACUAAGAAGCCCCGGCUAACUACGUGCCAGCAGCCGCGGUAAUACGUAGGGGGCAAGCGUUAUCCGGAUUUACUGGGUGUAAAGGGAGCGUAGACGGCUGUGCAAGCCAGAUGUGAAAGCCCGGGGCUCAACCCCGGGACUGCAUUUGGAACUGUGUGGCUGGAGUGUCGGAGAGGCAGGCGGAAUUCCUAGUGUAGUGGUGAAAUGCGUAGAUAUUAGGAGGAACACCAGUGGCGAAGGCGGCCUGCUGGACGAUGACUGACGUUGAGGCUCGAAAGCGUGGGGAGCAAACAGGAUUAGAUACCCCGGUAU